AAGGCUGGCGGCGUGCCUAUUACAUGCAAGUCGAGCGAAUGGAUUGAGAGCUUGCUCUCAAGAAGUUAGCGGCGGACGGGUGAGUAACACGUGGGUAACCUGCCCAUAAGACUGGGAUAACUCCGGGAAACCGGGGCUAAUACCGGAUAACAUUUUGAACUGCAUGGUUCGAAAUUGAAAGGCGGCUUCGGCUGUCACUUAUGGAUGGACCCGCGUCGCAUUAGCUAGUUGGUGAGGUAACNGGCUCACCAAGGCAACGAUGCGUAGCCGACCUGAGAGGGUGAUCGGCCACACUUGGGACUGAGACACGGCCCAGACUCCUACGGGAGGCAGCAGUAGGGAAUCUUCCGCAAUGGACGAAAGUCUGACGGAGCAACGCCGCGUGAGUGAUGAAGGCUUUCGGGUCGUAAAACUCUGUUGUUAGGGAAGAACAAGUGCUAGUUGAAUAAGCUGGCACCUUGACGGUACCUAACCAGAAAGCCACGGCUAACUACGUGCCAGCAGCCGCGGUAAUACGUAGGUGGCAAGCGUUAUCCGGAAUUAUUGGGCGUAAAGCGCGCGCAGGUGGUUUCUUAAGUCUGAUGUGAAAGCCCACGGCUCAACCGUGGAGGGUCAUUGGAAACUGGGAGACUUGAGUGCAGAAGAGAAAGUGAAU
rnacentral:rRNA from 1 species